CUUAUUUCAACAUUGUUUAUUUGGGGAAACAAUCUGAGGUGGGCCAACCCUAUUGUCCAACGGUUCGUUCGUGAAACGAUUGUAACUUCCGCUACCACCGGGAGCGGUGGAUCUCAACAUUGUAGUAUAACAUUACUAGCUACUGUAAAGGGCUUCGACUUAAUAUUGUGAAAACAAAAUGCGGUUUCGAGUGACAAACCCUGGCAACUACUUUUUAAACGUGGUGCAGCGAUGAACAAGAACAAAAUUAUGAUCUUUGUUGAAAAAGAAACUGAUUUAUAUAAAAAAAAGGGUGGGGCGGACAGCGGAGAGCGCGACACCGUUUGCCAGGGAUUGCCAUCAGACAAUAAAGACUGGUUUUUGAAGGUCGAUGCGUGUGACCCCCGAGAUCUAAACUUUUCAAACACCAAGUUCGACCCCAGGCUGUAUCUCCAAGCCAACAGGAUAAAAGUGAAAAACAACAACUACAUGCGCAAAACGAAUCAAGAUUUAUCGUUUCAUGUUAUCUUUUAAGCCGAGCGUGGUGUGCAAAAAGUCGGACCAACGUUUGUGCAUGCCUUACGCGGUUGAUCGAUUAACAUCCAAAAGCUCAUUUUCGAAACAGGUAAACAAACUACACAGUGCGUCUUGCGUGGAAGACGAAUGACAGCUUUCAAAAUGAAUACACGUUUAUUAUGCACUACAAAAAGCUACUAACCUGCUGCUGAUGUUUCCAAAUAAGACCAUGGCCGUUCAAUUUGUUUACAACAGCACUACUUCCCCACAGCAAUUUUGUAAUAAAAUCAAACAAAUUUAUUUAAAUUCAUGUAGAAUGAUUAGUUAUGGAGGUAGAUGGCAUCUGUAUUUGGGUAGGUACCUAUCACGCAAAAAUUGUCAAUGCGAUUCCAAUUUCACGCUAACUCUUUCAAUGUAAUAAAAGAACAAGCGCUCUUCUGAUAGACAGUUUUGAUAACUUGCCAAAAGGCACUUAGGCGUUGUAUGUAAGCAGCUUGCGAUAGUUGAGUCUUAAAUGACGUCAAUCGUGAAUGCAAAAUUAUUUCUUGAACAGCACAAAUACGAUUGUCUUUGACACAAAGUCUGCUGUGUAUUUUUCUGGCAUAGCAACAAUAAAAUCGAAAUUUCAUUAAAUUAAAAACCGAAUCUUUUUUUAAAAAAUUAUAAUAAAGUUAUAGUCUAUAGACUAAACGCCUCGGAACGCUUGUGUUCUUUAUGGCAUCUUUUUUUCCGUCUUAUUUUUUUCAUACCAAACAUGAUGGGUUUCAAAUAUCUUUUACUAUCGUGUUCCUUUUUCACAGUGUAUUGUAUUAAUUAGGAUUACAUAGAGCCAAAGCGUAGUGCAGAAUAGCCUAAUAGCAUUUCAUCCAAUUUCAUUCAGCUUAUGUGGAGUAUAACAACAACCUUUAUAUAUAUAUAUAUUUGCAUUUCUUUGAUUAAAAGAUUAAAAA